rnacentral:misc_RNA from 1 species
AACGCAAAUUGCGCUUCUCUUCGGAGGAGCACGUCUGUUUGAGCAUCAUUAAGCAACCACUCACAAGUGUUAUUCUUUUACAGAUGAACAAUUGUGGAAUCUGGGACUUCUUUUCCUGUCAAAAAGAAAAGGGUCCUGAAAUACGUUGAACUAUUGAAGCUGAUGUACUUUGGGUUUUGAACAAAGGAAAGCUAUCGAUGGAAAGCGUAGUAGGUACACUUUGUGCGCCCUAUCGCCUGUACAUCGUUUCCUUUUUGUAUUCAUCAUCUGAAUUCAGUGGAGAUUUAGGGUUCUUCCUUUCUUUUCUUUAUUUCUUUGCCACUGUGUGAAGGAGAAGGAAAGAAAACUACAUUGUUUUUUAAAAUUUUUGAAUUUUUAAGCAAUGCAAAUUUGAUCUCAAAUCAGGUGAGACUACCCGCUGAACUUAA